GGCUUCCUGCAAGGCAGACCCAAGCUGUAGCUCCUCGGGCCUGGGCGCCCUCCGGCCUGCAGGCGUCCUGCCCACAGCUGUGCUGGCCCUUCCAUGUCUGGGCACGAGGCACAAGCAGGGGUCUGGGUGUGGAGGACAGCUCCUUCGCUGGACCCUGAGCACAUCCAUUUCAGCUGGUCACUGGGUGCCUACAGCGAUGAGCUCACAUGGGAUCCGUCUCCCCGCUGGACAGGCAGCCCCAGCGGCGGGCUCUGGGGACACCCCUGCUCCCUUGCUCUCUGAGCACCAGGUCCCGGGCAGCCAGGUACACACAUGUGAUCAACCUGUCGAAUGGCUGGCUGGCUGGCUGAAGCAGUGAGUGUGUCCAGUGUAGAGCAAGGCAUGGUAGCGGAAGACCCGGGGUCUUCGGCUCGCUCCUGACUGUGUGGCCUGGAGCAAGCCAUGCCCCUCUCUGAAUCUGCUUCCUCAUCCACAAAGUGCAAUCACAACAGUGCUGACAAAUAUGAGUGAGGAGCAGAGAGGAGGCAAGCAUGGGAGGCUGAUAAUGUCUCUCAAAGAUGCAUCCAUGUCCUAACCCCCAGAGCUUGGGAAAUGACUGUAUUUUUAAAAAAUUUUGUAAUUUUGUGAUUUUUAUUUUUUUGGCUGCACCCCACGGCAUGCGAGAUCUUAGUUUCCUGUCCAGGGAUGAUCGAACCCGUGCCCCCUGCAGUGGAAGCACAGAGUCCUAACCACUGGACCGCCAGAGAAGUCCCAAAUUGUUGUAUUUGGAAAAAAGGAUUUGGCGGAUGUGAUUACGGAAAGAACAUCGAGGCUCAGAGUGGCAAGUCUACAUAGGAGAGCAACCGUCGGGCAGUUUGUGACCACUGGUUUCACCGUCUCUCUGCACUCAGCCCCGUGUGCUUUCACAGAGCCCAGCCCCCAGCACAAAGCGGACCCUCAGCAAAUACGGCUUCUGAGCGCUCACGUCCGACCCUGCAGCGCCCAGUGCUGGUGCAGGAUGGAGGGCUGUGCUUCCCAUCAGCCCGCAGGGGAAGGAGCAAGGAGCCUAGCCCGGGGACCCGCUGUCCGGACCUCUCUGCCCACCCUCAGAGAACCACCUAGUUCAUUCACAUCACAGGGACGACGCCUGGGUGCAGUCACUGCAGGAACAGUCAUUCAUUCGCUCAUUUGUUCAUUCAUCCACCUUGCAUCAGAUGCUCACUGUAUACUGGCACUGCUCCAGGUCCUGGGGAGUGUGGUUACAAAGCUGCCCGCACCGCUGCCACCACAGAGCUGCACAGCUUCCCCGGGAGAGGAGACAGACAGUGAACACACCAGAAAAGUGUUAAUACCAUCACAUCAGGGGCGACGAAGCUAAGAAGAAAACCAAGUUGGACAGAGGAACAGAGGGGACUCGGAUGACGUGUGGGAGGAAGUCAGGGUUCUCCGCUCAGAGAGUGGGGGGGAGAGCUUGGUGAUCUCAGCACAAAGGUCACCUGGGCUGGAGCAGAGGGAUGGAGCUGGGAGAGACAGAAGAGGUCCUGUAAGCCCAGGUGGGCAGGUUGUGCGAUGGACUUGGGGAUUUUUUUCUGGGAGAUUUGGGAGGCCCCCAGGGGUCCUGAGCAGGGAGUCAUGUGCUCUGAUGAAACUUUUCAAAAGGCCACAUGAGGGACUUCCCUGGUGGUCCAGUGGUAAAGAAUCUGCCUUUCAAUGCAGGAGAUGUGAGUUCGAUCCAUGGUCAGGGAACUAAGAUCCCACAUGCCAUGGGGCAACUAAGCCCACGCGCCACAGCUAGAGAACCUGCGUGCCGCAACUGCAGAACCCACGUGCCCUGGAGCCUGCGUACCACAACUAGAGAAGAGAAAACCCUCAUGCCACAACUAGAGAGAAGCCUGAGCGCCACAAUAAAAGACCUCGCGUGCCGCAACCAAGACCCAA